rnacentral:snoRNA from 1 species
AGCACUUUCUGUUUGUUUGUUCAACUGGUGGACAAAGGCAUGAAAAACAGUUACAAAUAUAAAUCCUCUUUUGCAUCCCAGAACUCAUUGUUUGUAUGAGUUUUGGUACAUACAAGAAGUAGGAAUAUG